UACGUAGGGGGCAAGCGUUGUCCGGAUUUAUUGGGCGUAAAGAGCGUGUAGGCGGUUCGGUAGGUCCGUUGUGAAAACUCGAGCUCAACCUCGAGACGCCGAUGGAAACCCUCGAACUAGAGUCCGGAAGAGGAGAGUGGAAUUCCUGGUGUAGCGGUGAAAUGCGCAGAUAUCAGGAAGAACACCCGUGGCUAAGGCGGCUCUCUGGGACGGUACUGACGCUGAGACGCGAAAAGCGUGGGGGAGCGAACAGG
rnacentral:rRNA from 1 species